GCCUAUGGCCAUACCGUCCUGCGAGCACUAGAUCCUGUCUGAUCCUGGAAGUUAAGCAGGACAGGGCCUGGUUAGUACUUGGAUGAGAGACUGCCUGGGGAAUACCAGGUGCUGUAAGCU
rnacentral:rRNA from 1 species